GGAACUCUAGGAAAAGGAGAAGUGAACUGAGGAGAGACCUUGCACUAGGUAGAUGUUUGUCAAGGGUGACCUCAAACACCCCUCCAACAUGAACAACACCGUGUCUGGAGUGCAGCUGGGGAAUCUCUACCAUCAAGAAAAGUGGGAGCUACAAUUGAAGACCCAAAGGAAUGCAUAA
rnacentral:lncRNA from 1 species